CUCUUAACCUCUGAGCCACCUCUCCAGCCCUCUACGUUUCUUCAUGGCAUUUUUUUCAUACAAUUUUUUUUUUCACGGUGUUACUCUUUUCCCGGCCCCCUGCCUUCUCCUCGAACCCCUUCCCCAGCCUCGUAUCCGUCCAUCCUCGGAAGGCAAAAGGGCACACUUCAGACCGCCACAGGCGCCGUGGAGACGCGUCCUCUCCUCGUUCCUUGUCAGUGGAACCCUUGGGUGCUUGAGUCUGGGUCAGCUGGGCAGCGCUGCAGGGGGGAGGCAGGAGAGGCGGGUCUGGACAUGCGUGCCAGGCCUGUUCCUGAGGCCCCAAGAGGGCUCCUGGGUGUUGGGUGUCAAACCCGGGACAAAGGGCCGAGGAAGUGGACCUGGCCUCCAGGUCUCCCAGCAUCCGUCAGUCCCUACGCGUUAUGGGGUCCUCUUGAUCUCCAAGAUAAUAGCCUGCCUCGUUCAUCGUCGGUGACAUCAGAGUUCCUCCUGGAUAGAGGACGUGAGUAUCUGAGCCGCACCUCUCCCGGGCUUCCCACCCUGUACCCCUAGUCUCUGGGUUUCCGCUUUAGCGAAAGGAUAUGUAGAACUUAAGCUCUGCGCUCCCCCUCCCCGUUUCCAGUUCAUCGGCCUCGGGUAAGGUACAUGUGCUUGGGACCUCAGUUUUCCCAUCUGUGAAAUGAAACCACAGUGUCUGCCUCAGGAGUGCUGUCGGGAGAACUAUAGCAUCUUAAGAACGGCGUUCCUCACACCGUGGCCAUUUUCAGAUGUCGCGGCUGAUGCUCAUCAGACUUAAGCGAGGAUCUAAGGAUGCUACAGGGUCCGGUGUCCAGCCUGUCCUUAUCCUGGCGAUCGCUGUGUGGCUCGAGUCCUCGUCCUUCGUGGAGCCAAGAGUUCCCUCCAGCACCACCACCACCGCUCCUUCUCUCCUGGGUGAGAUGGGAGGUGGCUCCGGAGGGGCCUCGGAUGGAGUUAUGAUUUGUUCAGGCAGAACCAGAAAUCGUUAGGCUUGCCGAAGAGGUUCAGGGCAGGCCUUUCCCCUUUAAGGGGGAUUUUUCCCCCCUAAAAAUCUCAGGUUUAUAGCUCGGGAGGGAGGAUGCAGUGGUUAAUUGUGCAGGAAUCCCUGUGCUCAGCUAAGGAGAAGCAUCAACCAGACUCCACGGUGGGACGCCCCUCUUCCUUCUCCGGCUUUCUGUCCCGAGGCAGAAGAAAAUCUGUCCUCCCCUCUCGGGGGUCACGAGGUCUCCAGAUGGGGCGACCAGGAAGGCUGGCAUGCCGCGCCCUUCCCAAGGUUCUGCGCGUGGUCCUCCACAGUCCCUUUCCGGACGUCGGAGGCAGGCGGUGCAAGCUCGCGGUUGCGCGCGGCGUGAGGCGCCCGAGGUGUGGAAGCCUGGGAGGAGAAGCACCCCGGGACGGACGGACGCACGCUGCUGCACGGACGCCCCCUUGGAGCACUCUGUCUCAUCCUCUGAAUGUGGACCAUCAAAGUCGGGGGAGGAAGGAUGCCUGUAGCACGAGGGAAAUCAAAAUCCAAGGCACCAGUGACUUUCGGGGACUUAGCCAUCUACUUCUCACAGGAGGAAUGGGAAUGGCUGAGUCCCAUUCAGAAGGAUUUGUACGAAGAUGUCAUGUUGGAGAACUAUCAGAAUCUGGUCUUGCUUGGUCUUGCCUGCCGGAGGCCAAAUAUCAUCACCUUGUUGGAGAAAGGGAAAGCACCAUGGGUGGUGGAGCCAUCCAGACGGCGCCGGGGCCCUGCCCUGAGUUUCAUAAUAUCCUGGCUUCUCUUCCUCUUGGAAUCAGGGUCUAAGUGUGAGACCAAGAAGUUACCACCAAAUCCAUGGAACAAAUCUGGGCAAAGUGUCCAUCAGAAACCAGUUUCUUCACAACAAAAGGUCACUACAAGGAGGACAAAAUGUAGCCAAAAUUCACUCCUAAGAAAACCCAAGAAAAGACAUUCAGGCAAGAAAUCUUUAAAGUGUAAUAAUUGUGGGAAAACCUUUUCUCGAAGUUUGUCUUUUAAACUUCAUCAAGACUUUCACACUGGAGAGAGGUCUUAUGGAUGCAGCAAUUGUAGACAAGUUUUCAGACAGAUCUUAUCCCUCAUUCUUCAUCAGAGAGUUCACAAUCGGAAGAAAAGCUAUGAAUGUGAUAAAUGUGGGGGAAUUUUUAAUAAAAAAUUAACUCUGAUGAUACAUAGGAGAACUCACAAUGGGAAGGAAAAUUUGAACCAUGAGAAGGCCCCAGGUUCACGCUCCAGGUCAUCAUCUUUCAGUGACCACCAUAAUAAUCAUGUUGUUGAGAGUAUCCACCAGUGCAGAAAACGUGAGAAAGCCUUCAGCCAGAUGUCAUCCCUUUUAUUUCAUAAGAGAAUUCACAGCAGAAAGAAAAUACAACAAUACAAUAAAUAUGGUAGAGGCUUCAAAAAGAAGACAGUCCUUGUGCGUAAGAGAAUUUGUAUUGGAAAGAAAACUCAUGAAACUAAGAAGGCCUUAAGUCAGGGUCUCAAGCAGAGAACUCACCAUUUAGAAAACCCGUUUACAUGUAGGAAAUGUGGGAAGUCCUUCAGUAGGAUCUUACCCUUAAUGCUUCAUCAGAGAAUUCACACUUCAGGGAAACCCUACAAAUGUGGUAAAUGCCAGAAAGACUUUAGACGGCUUUCCACCCUUAUUCUGCACCUAAGAACUCAUAAGGGGGAGAAGCAGUUUAAGUGCAAUAAAUGUGAGAAAGUGUGCAAUCGGUAUUCAUCCCUUAUUCAACACCAGAAAAUUCAUAAAAGAAAAAAGAAACUCAUUGAGUGCAAGGAAUGUGGAAAAAUGUUUUGUGGAAUGGAAAACCUUAAAGUACAUCUAAACAUUCACUCAGAAGAGAAAUCUUUCAAAUGCAAUAAAUGUAGUAAAGUCUUUGGCCGCCAGUCAUUUCUUAUUGAACAUCAAAGAAUUCAUACUGGAGAAAAGCCCUAUCAGUGUGAAGAAUGUGGGAAAGCAUUCAGUCACCGAAUAUCUCUUACCCGACACAAGCGAAUUCACAGUGAAGACAGACCUUAUGAAUGUGAUCAGUGUGGGAAAGCCUUCAGCCAGAGUGCUCACCUUGCACAGCAUGAAAGAAUUCACACUGGAGAGAAGCCCUAUGCAUGCAAAAUGUGUAAGAAAUCCUUUACUCAGCGCAUAUCCCUCAUUCUACAUGAAAGAAGUCACACUGGGGAGAAACCCUAUGAAUGUAAUGAAUGUGGGAAGGCGUUUAGUAGUGGCUCGGACCUUAUACGACAUCAGAGAAGUCAUUCUUCAGAGAAACCGUAUGAAUGUAGCAAAUGUGGGAAGGCAUAUAGUCGGAACUCAUCUCUGAUCCGACAUCAGAGCACACAUUCAGAGGAACAAUCCUGAAGUUGUUGCUAACUCUGCAAAAGCUAAAAAGGAUGUCAAAGAAGUGUUCAGAGGCAUGGAGAAUGUGUCUCAUAUGUUGAAGCCCUAACACCUCAGUGUGAUGGUACUUGGAAAUGAGAUUAAUAAAGCCAUGAUGCGGAUGGGCCUUUUUGAUACGUUUAUUGAUCGGAGACACCAGAGGGCUUGAUCUCUUUCUGUACCAUGUGAGAACACAGGCGGCCAUCUGCAAACCAAGGAAAGCCCUUAUGAGAACCUGACCAGUGUGAUGCCCUGACCUUGGAUUUCCAGCCUACGGAGGAACUAUGAGCACCUGAUUUCUCUUUAAGUCACCAGUCUGUGAUACUGUGUGUUAGCAGCUCGAGCUGAUUAAUACCUGGAAGAACUCCUAGGUUAAUGUAUUGGAUGUCUUCCUUUGAGCUGUCUAACCCAUUCAAUGUAUUUUUAUGUCCCUCUUUUAUAUAAGAAAUAAAUAUAUAAGAAAUAAAGUCCGA